GGGACGAACGCUGGCGGCGUGCUUAACACAUGCAAGUCGAGCGAGGUCCAACUGGUGGCAACACCAGGGAAGACCGAGCGGCGAGCGGGUGAGUAACACGUGAGCAACCUGUCCCGAAGACCGGGAUAACACCGGGAAACCGGUGCUAAUACCGGAUGUCCCCACCAAGCCACAUGACCUGGUGAGGAAAUGGAUUCCGCUUCGGGAGGGGCUCGCGGGCUAUCAGCUUGUUGGUGGGGUAACGGCCUACCAAGGCGACGACGGCUAGCUGGUCUGAGAGGACGACCAGCCACACUGGGACUGAGACACGGCCCCGACUCCUACGGGAGGCAGCAGUGGGGAAUUUUCCGCAAUGGGCGAAAGCCUGACGGAGUGACGCCGCGUGUGGGACGAAGGCCUUCGGGUCGUAAACCACUGUCAGUGGGAAAGAAGGGUGUCGGGGUUAAUACCCCGGCAUUUGACGGUACCUGCAGAGGAAGCCCGGCCAACUCUGUGCCAGCAGCCGC
rnacentral:rRNA from 1 species